rnacentral:rRNA from 1 species
UACGUAGGGGGCAAGCGUUGUCCGGAUUUAUUGGGCGUAAAGCGCGUGUAGGCGGCCUGGUAGGUCAGCUGUGAAAACUCGAGGCUCAACCUCGAGAUGUCGGUUGAAACCACCUGGCUAGAGUCCGGAAGAGGAGAGUGGAAUUCCUGGUGUAGCGGUGAAAUGCGCAGAUAUCAGGAAGAACACCCGUGGCGAAGGCGGCUCACUGGCCCGGUACUGACGCUGAGGUGCGAAAGCGUGGGGAGCAAACAGG